GGACGGGCGGUCACCGAGCGGGCUGGUGGCGGUGCCAGGAUCGCGUGGCACUGCGGGCAGGACAUCCCACCCAGCGGGGCGAGGACACAGGCUCUUUUAGCUCAGCUUCCAGAAAUCUGGGCAACAGAGGAGGUGGCUGUAGGUGCUGGAAAGCACUUGGGGUCAGCUUUGGUCAUGGAUGUCCUGUGUAACUGGGUCAAGUCACUGAAUGCCUAAAGGGCUAUGUUGACGGCUGAAAGCUGCACCUGAGUCCCUUUUCCUUAGGGCUGGGCUCAGCAGUGGAAGAACAAGCCCAUAGCAGACACCCGCCUCUGGAUUUUGUGGGGCUACAAGGCCAAAGCCAUUAGGAUGUGUUUGCAACACCUAAUUCUGUGGUGGAAGCUGCUGAACCCUCUGGUGGGAUCUGCCAUGCUGAUGGCACCCCAUAACUCCUUCAUCCUGGAGGAGAAGUACAUAUCUCAAAGAGCUCUGUGUUGCUGUGCUGCUCAUCUGGGACUGGCAGUUCUUUUGACUUCCACUCCACCCAAAUGUGUUUGGGGCUUUUAGGACUCCUUUUGUCUCUGAUGAUUUUUUGUUUUUCUUUAGUAACUUUAUGGCAUGAUGUAAGUGCCCAGUUCUUGUUGGCUUGGAUGGAAGCUGGAUUUCUAACUUUUACCAACCUCUCCCAGACUCUUUAUGCUGGAAAAAUGAUGACGAGAUUCUGUAUUUUUUCUCUUUUGACCCAGUCCCAGAUUUGGCCCAGGUUUCCUCUGUCUCCCUCUUACUCAGUUUCCCUCCCUGCCCCUUUUUAAUAUUUUAGGUCUACAAAGAUUUGCCAUGCCUGCUGAGGAAAACACAAGGCAAGAAAAUUUGUGCCGAGUUUGUACGUUCACCCGGUCCCACCAGCUUAUGGGGGUGCCCUGUCCCUCCUGCUGAGUGUUCCCCCUGCACAACCAGCAGGGGCUUCCAGAGGUGCCUGGCUGGGCUGGAGGGGUUAGGGAGGCUUUGUUUCAAAAGCAUUUUCAAGUGGUGAGAAGAAAAACAACCUGCAGGUCGGACUGCAGGCAGAUCAGGCUGAAGGUGCAAGACAGGAGGGAAAUUUUUCAUGACAGAGGUGUGCUCCUGGCCCGAGGGGAGGGAAGAGGCUAUUAUGGUUGGAGUCACUGAAAUCACUGCUGGCAGGAGCAUUAAACAGAGGAAAAAGAGAGCAGAUAGCGAGCUAGCAAAGUGGGAUUUUAACCAUCUGUGCAGGCUUGCAGCUAAGUGGUCUGGUAGUUAUAAGGGAGUAGCAAAUAUUCUUUACUGACCCCAUGCAUGACCCACACUUUGCUCUUCUCAGUGUCUUGAAGCCAGCAGGCAGGACAGCUGAGAAGCAGGGAGAGGGAGCAGCUCAGCCUGCCCCUUGUGCAUGGUCUUCUCUUAGGCUUGGGUUCUGGCCAUGAGGCAUGGAUCUGGGGCAGAAAUUUAAGGAGUAUUUUGUUCCAGGAAGAGGGAAAAUUAAAUAUUUAUUCAUCCCAAAUAUAGAGGCUUGUCUUGUGCAAAAAAAAAAAACCAAAAAAAAAAAAAACCCCAAAGUUUAUAGAAGCAAAAUGGCCAAAAUUCCAUACCAAAAUUUGUCCCCGAAGUCCCUUGUAAUCUUUUCUGUUUUCUUUCAAAUUUAAACAAAAAUGUGCUUCUGUUAGGAACAUUAUUUUUGAUAAACAGACAACAAAAAAGAAGAUUCCCCCCCCCCCCCCGCCCCAUGCCCUUUUUUUCUAUAGAAAUAAAAGUAAACUUAAAAAUAUUACAGCAGAAUGAUCUUGGGGAAGAAAAUCUGAACUGGUUGUAGUGGGGGAAAAAACCCAAUACUUGCCCAAAAAGGUGAAGAAUAGUUCAAGAGUUUCUUUAUCUAGAAUUUUUCCCCACUGUUCCACAGUUUUUUUACAUGCUUUUACCUAUACUUUUUGUGAAUAAAUUAUUUUGUCUGGACCUUACUGUGCAGUUGCCUUACAAAUACAUAAGUGACUCAAAGAGUUAGUUCUCAGGAAGAAUUUAUUUGCUUUGGUUAUCAGUUUCCUGCAUCUUGAAGAAGUGGAAUAGCUCAGGAAGGGUGUUUAUUUCGUGGCUCCUUUGACGCCAGCUGUUGCCUGGUGUCCUGGGCUGGUUUUUGUGUGGCUGCUGGUCCUGAGCAGCAUGGUGGCCCCACUCCUGGACGUGUGCUGUGGUCACAAGCCACACAGUGGAUCCUCCAGGUCUGCUGUUUGCUCUCUUCCAUCAGAUGUUCCUCCCCUGAGAGUGGCACCCCUUGAGGGAAGUGUCCCAGGAGAUGAUUUCUCACACACUCCCAAGCCAUCAUGACUCCAUGGAAAUGUGCUGAGCUCUUAUGUGGCUCUCCUUGGUGCUGCCUAGAAAAAGGACAAGAGGCAAUGAGCAGAAAAUGAUGCACAGGGAAUUCCACCUGAGAAUGAGGGAGAACUUUUUUACUGUGUGAGUGACUGGGCACCAGAACAGGCUGCCCAGACAGGGUGUGGAUUCUCCCUCACUGGAGAUAUUCAAGAACUGUCUGGAUGCAAUCCUGUGCUCUGGGGUGCUCCUGCUUGGGCAGGGAGCUGGGACCAGCUGACCACAGUGGUCCCUUCCAGCCUGACCCGUUCCACGAUUCUGUGGGCAAUGGGAUUCACCUGCUGGUGGCAAAGCCUUCCCACUGCACUGAGCACCUCUGGGGGGAGGCUGUCUCAAGACUUUUUUGAGGGUCUCCAUCUGGGAAUUUGGAGCAUGGUUGGAUUCAGACAUGGACACACAGAGGGUGGAAGUGGACUCGAGUGUUAUGUUAGGGCAGUGCUGCUCCUCCAGCUUUCAGCCAAGGAAGUCCCUGAACUUUUGGUUGUUGUUAAAUGAUGGGGUAAUUCAGGGCCAUCCUAAGGGCACCAUCAGCAGGUUUUGUGUCAUUGAAGCAUCCACCAGGGAGCACUGCUGGCUCUGAGGCUGGAGGGUGCCUUGGAUUGUUCACUGUGGAAUUUCUAGGGAGAAAAAGCAGAGCAGUCCUUGCUAUCAGGGCUCCCACUCCCUCUUUUUCCCUGCACAUCCCAGGGGGACUGAGAAACAGAUGACUGUUUCACAGGUAUUAGAGAUGAUCCAAAUGCAACUGUGCCCAGUGCAGAUAUCCAGGUAACAGUUUUAUUCAGGACAGGACAAAGCCACUGGUCUCUCAGCAUGGCUACGUUAAAGAUCGUAAAACUUUCACCUAGGUACUCCCAUACUGCCUGUGGUUUAGCAGAAGAUUGUUUUGUUUUGGGGGAAAACUGCACAUUUUUCUAACCCAUGUGAUUGCCAAGUGUAGCUUGGACAUGUGGCCUGGGUACCACAGGUGCAAUUCCUACCUGGCUGCAUGGGGGGCUUAAAACAGAAUCUGGGUGCACAGCCCCAUUGUUCUGCAGUGAAGCCAGAUCACCUGUGCUAUAAAGUGAUUUGUGUGUACACCAUUUCUGGAGGAGGCUGCAGCUCCAGUGCAAAACAGUUCAGGAGCUGGAGGUUGAAAUCUCUCUGUGUACUCAGGAUGAACUGAUGCAGAAGGCAGGAGAUGCUGGCAAAACUUACGUAGUAAAUGAUUUAUUUCCUUCUCAUCACCUCAUUUUAAAGAGAGGUCCGGAUCACGUUUGUUUGGUAGCCACUUUCAUUAUUGUCUUCCACUUUUUAAUAAUCUGUCUGGGCCAAAGAGCACCCUGAGUGAGAAAGCAUAUGUGGGGAUGAGAGUCUGUGUGUUCUGGCCUUCCUUAUUCCACAGUAAAACACAGCUUCCUGCCUGUGUGCUCCUGUCCACCUCUGUCCUGCUGUUUUAUCCGUCUGUCAAAGCUAUUUUGACAUCUGGGUCUUAACAAACUGAUGUUGAGAGCUGUUUGAAUGGUCCCAUCAGCUUUAAAGUAACUGCUCACCAGCUGAAGUCUGAGCCAGCCCACAGCCCCAGACGGGGCCAGGGCUUCUCCCUCUGUGUGUAAAAUGGCAUGACAGCAGGGACUGUAAACACUUAAAGCAGUUGGGUCUUCAUAGCCCAUUGUCCAGAUGAGAUGUCCCUUCCUUUCCUAGACGAGAUCUCAGGUGCAGGGAACUCCAGAUCCAGCCAUACUGGUGGGUUUUCUUUUUCAACUCAUUUUCAGUUGUUAAGAACAAAAACAAAACAAAAACAAACAAAAAAUCCCCACAAAAACUAACAAAAAGCCCCUCAAACAAACAAGUGGGAGAUAGUGAGUGAUAAAUAAGGGCUAUUUGAUAUGAUUGAGAAAAGCUGUUCCUCUUUUGCACUCCAUAACCCGUUUCCCUCCCAAACUCAUUCUUGCCUGACCAGAAUACAUUAACAUCCUUGCAUCAACAUGAAAAUCUCACCAGCUAAUGUUGACAAUGCUGAAAGUUUCCAUCUUCCGUUGGUGGGUAAUUUUCUUUGUGCAGUCUGGAGUGAUCUUUAGUGACUCCCUUCUUUGAUAUCUGCCCUCUCCAGCGAGUGGAAAUGUCAGAUCCUCUGGCUGAAAUUAACCACCUCCAUUCAGAUACUUGCUUAAUUUAAAUGUGCACCUCAGGAGAAGUAUGAAUUUUCCAUUCUUUUUCCCUUGGCUCUCAUAAGGUGAAUGAAUGGUCCCGGCCAUGCCUUUCAUUUGCUUUCCUCCCUGAAGAUCUGUGUCUGGAGAAAUGCAC